rnacentral:rRNA from 1 species
GUGACCUCAAAUCAGGUAGGACUACCCGCUGAACUUAAGCAUAUCAAUAAGCGGAGGAAAAGAAACUAACAAGGAUUCCCCUAGUAACUGCGAGUGAAGCGGGAAAAGCUCAAAUUUAAAAUCUGUCAGUCUUUGGCUGUCCGAGUUGUAAUCUAGAGAAGUGUUAUCUGCGUUGGACCGUGUACAAGUCUCCUGGGAUGGAGCGUCAUAGAGGGUGAGAAUCCCGUCUUUGACACGGACUACCAAGGCUUUGUGAUGCGCUCUCAAAGAGUCGAGUUGUUUGGGAAUGCAGCUCAAAAUGGGUGGUAAAUUCCAUCUAAAGCUAAAUAUUGGCGAGAGACCGAUAGCGAACAAGUACCGUGAGGGAAAGAUGAAAAGAACUUUGGAAAGAGAGUUAAACAGUACGUGAAAUUGCUGAAAGGGAAACGCUUGAAGUCAGUCGCGUUGUCCAGGGAUCAACCUUGCUUUUGCUUGGUGUACUUUCUGGUUAACGGGUCAACAUCAAUUUUGAUCAUUGGAAAAAAGUUAAGGGAAUGUGGCAUCUUUGGAUGUGUUAUAGCCUUUGAUUGUAUACAAUGGUUGGGAUUGAGGAACUCAGCACGCCGCAAGGCCGGGUUUUUAACCACGUACGUGCUUAGGAUGUGGCAUA